UACGAAGGGGGCUAGCGUUGUUCGGAAUCACUGGGCGUAAAGCGCACGUAGGCGGAUGUGUCAGUCAGAGGUGAAAGCCCAGUGCUCAACACUGGAACUGCCUUUGAAACUAGAUAGCUUGAAUCCAGGAGAGGUGAGUGGAAUUCCGAGUGUAGAGGUGAAAUUCGUAGAUAUUCGGAAGAACACCAGUGGCGAAGGCGGCUCACUGGACUGGUAUUGACGCUGAGGUGCGAAAGCGUGGGGAGCAAACAGG
rnacentral:rRNA from 1 species